CCUACGGGGGGCAGCAGUGAGGAAUAUUGGUCAAUGGGCGCAAGCCUGAACCAGCCACGUCGCGUGAAGGAAGACUGCCCUACGGGUUGUAAACUUCUUUUAUAAAGGCAUAAAGUGAGGCACGUGUGCCUUUUUGUAUGUACUUUAUGAAUAAGGAUCGGCUAACUCCGUGCCAGCAGCCGCGGUAAUACGGAGGAUCCGAGCGUUAUCCGGAUUUAUUGGGUUUAAAGGGAGCGUAGAUGGGUUGUUAAGUCAGUUGUGAAAGGUUGCGGCUCAACCGUAAAAUUGCAAUUGAUACUGGCAGUCUUGAGUACAGGUGAGGUAGGCGGAAUGCGUGGUGUAGCGGUGAAAUGCUUAGAUAUCACGAAGAACUCCGAUUGCGAAGGCAGCUUACUAAACUGUAACUGACAUUGAGGCUCGAAAGUGUGGGUAUCAAACAGGAUUAGAUACCCGUGUAGUC
rnacentral:rRNA from 1 species